UACGUAGGGGGCAAGCGUUGUCCGGAAUCAUUGGGCGUAAAGCGCGUGUAGGCGGUUCGGUAAGUCUGCUGUGAAAGUCCAGGGCUCAACCCCUGGGAUGCCGGUGGAUACUGUCGAACUAGAGUACGGAAGAGGCGAGUGGAAUUCCCCGGUGUAGCGGUGAAAUGCGCAGAUAUCGGGAGGAACACCAAUUGCGAAGGCAGCUCGCUGGGACGUCGACUGACGCUGAGACGCGAAAGCGUGGGGAGCAAACAGGG
rnacentral:rRNA from 1 species